AGAGGGAAACAGCCCAGACCGCCAGCUAAGGUCCCAAAGUAACCGUUAAGUGGCAAAGGAUGUGGAGUUGCCCAGACAACCAGGAUGUUGGCUUAGAAGCAGCCAUCAUUCAAAGAGUGCGUAAUAGCUCACUGGUCAAGUGACUCUGCGCCGAAAAUGUAACGGGGCUAAACGGUUCACCGAAGCUGCGGAUGUCCUUCGGACAUGGUAGGGGAGCGUUCCAAACAGCAGCGAAGCUGCUUCGUGAGAAGCGGUGGAGCGUUUGGAAGUGAGAAUGCCGGUAUGAGUAGCGAAAAGAAGGGUGAGAAUCCCUUCCACCGAAAGCCUAAGGUUUCCUGAGGAAGGUUCGUCCGCUCAGGGUUAGUCGGGACCUAAGCCGAGGCCGAAAGGCGUAGGCGAUGGACAACAGGUUGAGAUUCCUGUACCACCUUGUUCCGUUGACGACGGGGGGACGCAGGAGGGUAGAGAAUCGCGCGACUGGUUGUGCGCGUCCAAGCAGUGAGGCUGAAGAGACAGGCAAAUCCGUCUCUUCUUAAGGCCAGGCUGUGAUGGCGAGGGAAGUUU
rnacentral:rRNA from 1 species